GGAUGUCCUUGUGUCGCUUGAUACUGACUCAGUGAUUGACAGAGUUGCAGAGAAAAGCAAAUUGAUGAAGAGAAAGCUUUUGUAAGAAUGCCUUUGCUGUUCACAGUUGGUCCAGUUUACAGUUCUGUGUUUGUUCUUGAGGAUCAUUGGAGGGCUACUCAGCAGUGUCCUAAGAGUGUCUUUUCCUAAGGAAUGAUCCAGUUGGUGUGUUCCAGUGGGGAACCGUCAGGGCCUUCUACGCCUUCAGAGAAGGCCUUACAAUUUCA